AAUGGGUCAGCGACUUAUAUUCUGUAGCAAGGUUAACCGAAUAGGGGAGCCGAAGGGAAACCGAGUCUUAACUGGGCGUUAAGUUGCAGGGUAUAGACCCGAAACCCGGUGAUCUAGCCAUGGGCAGGUUGAAGGUUGGGUAACACUAACUGGAGGACCGAACCGACUAAUGUUGAAAAAUUAGCGGAUGACUUGUGGCUGGGGGUGAAAGGCCAAUCAAACCGGGAGAUAGCUGGUUCUCCCCGAAAGCUAUUUAGGUAGCGCCUCGUGAAUUCAUCUCCGGGGGUAGAGCACUGUUUCGGCAAGGGGGUCAUCCCGACUUACCAACCCGAUGCAAACUGCGAAUACCGGAGAAUGUUAUCACGGGAGACACACGGCGGGUGCUAACGUCCGUCGUGAAGAGGGAAACAACCCAGACCGCCAGCUAAGGUCCCAAAGUCAUGGUUAAGUGGGAAACGAUGUGGGAAGGCCCAGACAGCCAGGAUGUUGGCUUAGAAGCAGCCAUCAUUUAAAGAAAGCGUAAUAGCUCACUGGUCGAGUC
rnacentral:rRNA from 1 species